rnacentral:rRNA from 1 species
CCCUAGUAACGGCGAGUGAAGCGGGAAGAGCUCAAAUUUGUAAUCUGGCUGCUUUGCAGUCCGAGUUGUAAGCUAGAGAAGUGUUAUCUGCGCUGGACCACGUAUGAGUCUGUUGGAAUAUAGUGUCAAAGAGGGUGAGAACCCCGUUCGUGAUGUGGACUACCAGUGCUUUGUGUUACACUCUCAAAGAGUCGAGUUGUUUGGGAAUGCAGCUCAAAUUGGGUGGUAAAUUCCAUCUAAAGCUAAAUAUUGGCGGGAGACCGAUAGCGAACAAGUACCGUGAGGGAAAGAUGAAAAGCACUUUGGAAAGAGAGUCAAACAGUACGUGAAAUUGUUGAAAGGGAAACGCUUGAAGUCAGACAUGCUUGCGGGGUUCAGUCUACCGGAUUUACUCCUCCGCUUUGCAGGCUAGCAUCAGUUCUGUGGAUUGGAUAAGGGCUUGGGGAAGGUGGCAUCUUCGGGUGUGUUAUAGCCUCUUGCUUGAUGCAGUUCAUGGGACUGAGGAUCGCAGCGCGCCUUUUGGCAUUGGCUUCGGCCUUUCCGCGCUUAGGAUGCUGGUGUAAUGGCUUUAAAACGACCCG